AACGAACGCUGGCGGCAUGCCUAACACAUGCAAGUCGAACGAGACCUUCGGGUCUAGUGGCGCACGGGUGCGUAACGCGUGGGAACCUGCCCUUAGGUUCGGAAUAACUCCCCGAAAGGGGUGCUAAUACCGGAUAAUGUCUUCGGACCAAAGAUUUAUCGCCUUUGGAUGGGCACGCGUUGGAUUAGCUAGUUGGUAGGGUAAAAGCCUACCAAGGCGACGCUCCAUAGCUGGUCUGAGAGGAUGAUCAGCCACACUGGGACGGAGACACGGCCGAGACUCCUACGGGAGGCAGAAGUGGGGAAUAUUGGACAAUGGGCGAAAGCGUGAUACAGCCAGACCGCGUGGGUGAAGAAGGCUUUAGGGUGGUAAAGCCCGUUUGUUGGGAAAGAAAAGCAGCAGGUUAAUACCCCGCGGUUCUGACGGUACCCAAAGAAUAAGCACCGGCUAACUUCGUG
rnacentral:rRNA from 1 species